UGACGUCAUUUAUGGACGCCCCUAAAUCAGCUGUGCAGCUAACUCUGCUCUUUCCCGAACGAGUUUGAAUCCUGCUUUUAGAUUCAAUUCAGGGAAUCGGGGAACUAGAUUCCACACGGUAACGAUUCUUAAAGCAAUCGAUUCACGAAUUUUGGCGGGAAGCGGCAAUGGCGGCCCCCAUGGAGGAGGAGGGGAACGAGACGCGGGAGCCCCGCGAUCUACUCCCCGCGUCCUCCUCGGUCUCCGAGUCCCUGGAGAAGCUCACGGUCGUGACGAGAGCCAUCACCAGGAACGUGUCCAUCGUGAACGACGCCCUGGAGAAAAUUCUGAUGGACAAACCAUUGGCUGACGAGCUAAAGAAGUACUUGACAGACUUUUCUGCUGAAUAAUCCUACAUGGAGAAGACUCAACUCUCAAUCGUUGCCAGUCUACUGCCAAAUUACUCGUCACAAUUACUUUACAUUUACGAGCCGCGUGUGAAAAAUGCAUUUCGUGCGGUCAUGUUUUUCGAAUAACAAACCUUGCCAAUGUAUACAGAAGAUAGUGACUUUCAUUUAUUUUCAUUUAAAGAUGUAUAAAAGGUUGCAGACCAUCCGCACCGAAUUCUCAACCCACUCAAGAUUGUCCCAGUGUUUUUUUUUUUCCAGCAAUCCGUCACCAGCCUUGCACAACCAUGUUAAUUUGGUAUUUAGAACAGCCUUAUUAGCCUUGUCAUAGCUGUUAUAGUGUGUUUGACCGAUACAUUCUCAUUAACUGUAGAUUUUGAAAGUGUAAUGCCUUCUAUUAACAAUUUUGAUUUAAAGCUUUCGUGACUGCAGGGAUUCAUAUUUUUGGUUCUUUUGGUAAAGUCACGUAAAAGGGAAACAAUAAAAUAAUAAAAAUAUAAAACAAUAA